AUCCUUCAUAUUACCUGAUUUAAUUUUUUUUCAAGGUCUAUUUUCUGUCUCUGGACUAAUUGAUGUUUAUAUAUAUAUAUAUGUUACACAUACUUAACUGGACUUUCUAAAGGAUCUUCAUGAAAAUGCAUUUGCCACCAUUUUUUAUUGCUGCAGUGCACCUUGGGAAGGAGCCAGGCUGCUCAUCUUCAGCACUGAAAGGAGAACAAAGGGCUUCUCUGAAGGGGAAUUGCUGAUUUCCCAUUUAGCUUGGCCAGAAAGACCACUUCAUCAGAUUGCUGAAAGAGGGAUCUCACAUCACCUUUCUAAAUUCCUGGACAGUACAGAAGCACAUGCUGAGUAUUUUGGCAAGACUCAUCUUACCUGCAGGGUAAGUAGGUCACUGCCUAUUACAGGCCUGGACUGAAGGUCCUUGAAAUUACUUUUCCCAAUGCCUGCCUUCAUUUCUAGUCAUAUAUUUAUUCUUUUGUACUAAAUCCUGUACUAAACUACAAAGUAACUUGUGGGAAGGAGGGAGGUAAGAGAAAUUAAUCCAUCCCUAGUCUAACUGAGAUUUGAUUUUUUGGAGCUUGUUUGGAUCUUGGGCAGAGUGGAAAAGACUUUCUAGGCUAGUUGAGUAGAACUGAAUAGCAAGGUUGGCUGACCUGAGAACUAUGACAGGGUAAUAAAAAUGACAAUUCUCUCAGCUUCCCUUUGCCCUUCUUCCCAACUCUUUUCCCAAAUUUGUCUUGUUCCCCUAGAGGAAGAGAAAAUUCUCUUAGUCUUUGUGAGGCUAAUCUCUUUACCUGUACUGUCCAUCACUUAGUCUUAUCUAGGACUUUUCUUCAUCAUGCAUAUCUUGCUUUCCUAUACAUUCAUUUCUUCCUGUUUGUUGAUUCCUUCUCUUCACCUUACAAGUUAGUGCAGAUUUUUUUCUUCCUAAAAUGAAAAAUAAAAUGUAAACAAAUACCCAAAUCUUCAAACAAAACAAAACAAAACAACUUCCUGUAAAUUUCAAAUCCUAUGUCCCAGUCACUAUCCUGUUUAUUCCCUCAAAAAAAUAUUUUUAAGAGAGUCUCUAGGAACGCUUUGUACUACAAAUAGUCAAAAACCUGAACAAC
ensembl:lncRNA